GAAUGUAAACAGACUUCCAAGAAAAUCCGCUAAGCAUAUUUUGCAGCUGCCCGUACCGCAAACCGACACAGGUAGUCGAGAAGAAUAUUCUAAGGUGCUCGAGAGAUUCAUGGCUAAGGAACUCGGCAAAAUAAACCUGUAACUUCGGGAGAAGGGUUGCCUCCUCUAGCAAUAGAGAGGUCGCAGAGAAAUGGCCCAGGCGACUGUUUAACAAAAACACAUGGCUAUGCGAAAUCGCAAGAUGAAGUAUAUGGCCUGACACCUGCCCGGUGCUGGAAGGUUAAGGGGGGAAGUUAGCAGCAAUGCGACGCUUUGAACCGAAGCCCCAGUAAACGGCGGCCGUAACUAUAACGGUCCUAAGGUAGCGAAAUUCCUUGUCGGGUAAGUUCCGACCUGCACGAAUGGUGUAACGAUCUGGGCGCUGUCUCAGCCAUGAGCUCGGUGAAAUUGUAGUAACGGUGAAGAUGCCGUUUACCCGUCACGGGACGGAAAGACCCCAUGAACCUUUACUAUAGCUUCACAUUGAUAUUGGGAAGAUGAUGUGUAGGAUAGGCGGGAGGCAAUGAUCUGGUGGCGCUAGCUAUCAGGGAGUCAACGGUGAAAUACCGCCCUUUAUUUUUCCGAUAUCUAACCACCGCAAGGUGGGACAUUGUGUGGUGGGUAGUUUGACUGGGGUGGUCGCCUCCGAAAGUGUAUCGGAGGCUUUCAAAGGUAUGCUCAGUACGCUUGGUAACCGUACGUGGAGUGCAUUAGCAUAAGCAUGCUUGACUGUGAGACAGACAAGUCGAUCAGGCGCGAAAGCGGGAUAAAGUGAUCCGGUGGUUCUGCAUGGAAGGGCCAUCGCUCAAAGGAUAAAAGGUACUCUGGGAUAACAGGCUGAUCUCCCCCAAGAGCUCAUAUCGACGGGGAGGUUUGGCACCUCGAUGUCAGCUCGUCACAUCCUGGGGCUGGAGAAGGUCCCAAGGGUUGGGCUGUUCGCCCAUUAAAGUGGCACGCGAGCUGGGUUCAGAACGUCGUGAGACAGUUCGGUCCCUAUCUGUGAUGGGCGCAGGAAGUUUGAGAGGCUCUGACCUUAGUACGAGAGGACCGGGUUGGAGCAACCGCUGGUGUACCGGUUGUCAUGUCAGUGGCACUGCCGGGUAGCUAUGUUGCGACGGAAUAAGCGCUGAAAGCAUCUAAGCGCGAAAUCCACCUCGAGAUGAGACUUCCUUAUAAGGGCCGUCGUAGACUACGACGUUGAUAGGCUGCAGGUGUAAAGUCAGAAAUGGCAAAGCCGAGCAGUACUAAUUACCCAAAAAA
rnacentral:rRNA from 1 species